AGUGAACGCUGGCGGUAGGCCUAACACAUGCAAGUCGAACGGCAGCACAGUAAGAGCUUGCUCUUACGGGUGGCGAGUGGCGGACGGGUGAGGAAUACAUCGGAAUCUACUUUUUCGUGGGGGAUAACGUAGGGAAACUUACGCUAAUACCGCAUACGACCUACGGGUGAAAGCAGGGGAUCUUCGGACCUUGCGCGAUUGAAUGAGCCGAUGUCGGAUUAGCUAGUUGGCGGGGUAAAGGCCCACCAAGGCGACGAUCCGUAGGUGGUCUGAGAGGAUGAUCAGCCACACUGGAACUGAGACACGGUCCAGACUCCUACGGGAGGAAGCAGUGGGGAAUAUUGGACAAUGGGCGCAAGCCUGAUCCAGCCAUACCGCGUGGGUGAAGAAGGCCUUCGGGUUGUAAAGCCCUUUUGUUGGGAAAGAAAAGCAGCAGGUUAAUACCCCGCUGUUCUGACGGUACCCAAAGAAUAAGCACCGGCUAACUUCGUG
rnacentral:rRNA from 1 species